rnacentral:rRNA from 1 species
CCUUAGAUGUUCUGGGCCGCACGCGCAAUACACUGACAGAGUCAACGAGUUUUUUUCAUUCCCCAUUCCGACCUUUCAACGGGAAGGGGUGGGGGACAACCCUCUUCAAUCUCUUGUUUCGAGUAUUGGAGGGGUAAUCUUGUCAAACUCUGUCGUGAUGGGGAUAGAUCCUUGUAAUUAUUGAUCUUCAACGAGGAAUUUCUAGUAAGCGCGAGUCAUCAACUCGCGCUGACUACGUCCCUGCGUUUUGUCCACACCGCCCGUCGCUCCUACCGAUUGAAUGGUCCGGUGAAGUUUUCGGAGUCGUCAAAAAAACGGGAGAGGGGGGCGUUAAAAACCUCUUUUUUUCGUUUUUGGCAAAGUCAACUAAACCUUACCAUUUAGAGGAAGGAGAAGUCGUAACAAGGUA